GCGUCUGGACACAGAAUUUACAAAAUUAGUAUAGAUUUGUGUGGCUCUUACUAACCCCUGACAAUAAGCGUGAUCGGUGGUUAGCAUUAAAUUUUGCGUGGCAAUACUUUAUUAAGAAAUUUUCUUUAAACAUCAAAUUGAAUUAAAAUUUAAGUUAUCACCACAACAUGACAUAAAAGAAUAAAAAAUAUAUAUAUUUCGGGUGGUUCCUUGAGAUUGGAAUGAAGUCAUUGUAAUCAUUUGAGUGAUUGAAUUCUUUAUUGUUGAUUAGUUGUAACACACAUUCAAUAGUAUUGUGCAAUAGUAAUGCCAAUAAAAAAGGUACUGAGAUUUUUCAAAUCAUUUACCACAGUAAAUUGAAAUUCGAUCAUUUAAGAUUAAAUUUUACGUCUUUUUGACUUUAUCAAUGUGAUAAACAUCACUCUGUUGAAAUCCAAUAUUGAUAGCACCUACAAAACUUGUAUGAUUACAGCAAUCUGUUGUCAGCUAGCUGGGACAACAGAUUUUAUUAAAAAUACAGAGGUACACAAUUUUUAGGGUGUUUUAAGGUACAGAUGUGUUAAUAAUUUUUUUGUCUAUACUUAAAUUGUACAAAAAUGCAGACCUUACAAUAAUAAAACUGUGCACUGCCCUUAUAAUAUAGUGAUAAAUAUUACACAAGACAGUAUUAACAAAAUUACAAAGCACACUUAAGAUACAUAGCAACUUUUUUAUGUUGUCUGAAACUUGAAGAAAAGAAGGCAAGAAGCUUCAUUUGUUUGCUCAAAUGUGUUUUUUUAAUAAUUUACUUUAUUUAGAGAACUAAUAGUGGUGUUACAGAAGAUAACUUGGGUUAGAUGUAUCGUCUAUAUGAAUAUAUAUUCUGCUAUUUAUAUUGUUACUAGAGAUUUUUUGGAAUUUACUUCUACCAAAGUUUCUUCCACAUCCUCGGGGAUAAUACAAUUCUGUGUAGCUAGCAUUGGAUAAUACUGCAUAUUUGCAAUAGAAGCAGCCUUACAGAGCAAAGUUAUAACUAAUAAUGUUCUCAAUUUAAAGAUUUUUAGGUAAUUUCAAAAUGAGUAAAAAAUUAAUCACACGAAUAAUUACUCAUUGUGAAAAAUGACCUUAAAAGUCAUUAAAUUUAGAAAAUUAUGAAGUUUCAUCCUUGGUCUGAGAAGGUGCUUCUAGUGCAGAUAUGCGGUGUCAUUCAACAUUAGGUAUGAGGACUUGCACUAUCCCCGAUGAUAUGCUAUAUGAAUUUCUGUCAUGAUUUCUUAUGUUAUUGAAUGCUUCUUUCCAUCUGCUGUCAUCAAAAUAAAAUACUAAACAUCAUAGUAAUGCAAAAAAACAUCAGAGAAAAAAUAUCUAAUACAACAAAAUUCACCAAACAUUUUUAAAGUGAAUAUUUUUUCCACUUAAUGCCAUUUGUACUAUUAGCACAUAUAGAACAAUUAUGGUUUACUUAUUUACAGUUUUUAAGUUGAAACUCAAUCUCUUCUAGGUAAAAAACAAUUGUAUAAGCCAGGAUAAGAUAUUUUCAAUAAUAAUAAUAAUAAUCAGUAACAUUUUUAGGUUUAGUAAACAAAACAGGUAAUAAACAAUAUCUUAACCUAUCACUAAAUUCUCACACAAUGUUUCGUUUAUUCAUAAUAAAUCAUGUUUAAUACUGUUUUGGUAAAUAUUAGCAGCACUAAGUAGACUCUUUGUAACAUACUUUUGUCAGAAUCAAAAGUAAUGCAAUCAAAUCAGUUUGAAGUAGACAUUUAUUGUUAAAUUUUUUACAGUAUAA